UACGAAGGGGGCUAGCGUUGCUCGGAUUGACUGGGCGUAAAGGGCGCGUAGGCGGUUCGUACAGUCAGACGUGAAAUUCCUGGGCUCAAUCUGGGGGCUGCGUUUGAUACGUGCGGACUUGAGUGCGGAAGAGGGUCGUGGAAUUCCCGGUGUAGUGGUGAAAUGCGUAGAUAUCGGGAGGAACACCCGUGGCGAAGGCGGCCAGCUGGGAUACACCUGACGCUGAGACACGAAGGCGUGGGAGCGAACGG
rnacentral:rRNA from 1 species